AAUAAAAUAAUUAUGUUUUUGAUAAUUUAUUAUAAGUUUAUUUUACAUAUAAAUUUUAGUAUAUAAUUUUAAUUAUUUUAAUAAUAAUUAAUUAUUUUAGUAGUAAUUAAUAUUAAAAAUUUAAGAAAUUAAGAUUUAGUAAUAUAAAAAUUAAUAACUAAUUUUGUGCCAGCAGUUGCGGUUAAACAAAAAUUAAAUUAAAUUAUUUCAGUUUAUAAUUAAUAAAUAAUAAUUAAAAUAAAUAUUAAAUUAUUAGGU
rnacentral:rRNA from 1 species